AUUGAACGCUGGCGGAAUGCUUUACACAUGCAAGUCGAGCGGCAGCGCGGGGCAACCUGGCGGCGAGCGGCGAACGGGUGAGUAACACAUCGGAACGUGCCCAGACGUGGGGGAUAGCCCGGCGAAAGCCGGAUUAAUACCGCAUGUGAUCUGAGGAUGAAAGUGGGGGACCGCAAGGCCUCGACGCGUUUGGAGCGGCCGAUGGCAGAUUAGGUAGUUGGUGGGGUAAAGGCUUACCAAGCCUGCGAUCUGUAGCUGGUCUGAGAGGAUGAUCAGCCACACUGGGACUGAGACACGGCCCAGACUCCUACGGGAGGCAGCAGUGGGGAAUUUUGGACAAUGGGCGCAAGCCUGAUCCAGCCAUUCCGCGUGCAGGACGAAGGCCUUCGGUUGUAAACUGCUUUUGUACGUAACGAACGGUACUGCCCUAAUACGGUGGGCUAAUGACGGUACCGUAAGGAAUAAGCACCGGCUAACUACGUGCCAGCAGCCGCGGUAAA
rnacentral:rRNA from 1 species